rnacentral:tRNA from 1 species
GCUGUAGUUCAGUGGAAGCACCUCUGCUUUCCAUGUGGAAGGUUCCGGGUUCAAUCCCCGGCAUCUCCA